rnacentral:rRNA from 1 species
GUGUCAGCCGCCGCGGUAAUACGGAGGGUGCUAGCGUUGUUCGGAAUUACUGGGCGUAAAGGGCGCGUAGGCGGCCGUUUGCGUCGGAUGUGAAAGCCCGGGGCUCAACCUCGGAACGGCAUUCGAUACGGGACGGCUGGAGACCGGGAGAGGAGAGUGGAAUAGCCAGUGUAGAGGUGAAAUUCGUAGAUAUUGGCUGGAACACCGGUGGCGAAAGCGGCUCUCUGGCCCGGUUCUGACGCUGAGGCGCGAAAGCGUGGGGAGCAAACAGGAUUAGAAACCCCCGUAGUCC